rnacentral:rRNA from 1 species
AUUGAACGCUGGCGGCAUGCUUUACACAUGCAAGUCGAACGGUAACAGGCCUUCGGGUGCUGACGAGUGGCGGACGGGUGAGUAAUGCAUCGGAACGUGCCCAGAGGUGGGGGAUAACGCAGCGAAAGCUGUGCUAAUACCGCAUGUGAUCUGAGGAUGAAAGCGGGGGACCAAGCAGCAAUGUUUGGCCUCGCGCCUCUGGAGCGGCCGAUGUCAGAUUAGGUAGUUGGUGGGGUAAAGGCCUACCAAGCCGACGAUCUGUAGCUGGUCUGAGAGGACGACCAGCCACACUGGGACUGAGACACGGCCCAGGGUACUACGGGAGGCAGCAGUGGGGAAUUUUGGACAAUGGGCGCAAGCCUGAUCCAGCAAUGCCGCGUGCGGGAAGAAGGCCUUCGGGUUGUAAACCGCUUUUGUACGGAACGAAAAGGCUCUGGCUAAUACCUGGGGCUGAUGACGGUACCGUAAGAAUAAGCACCGGCUAACUACGUG